UGGAACAUUCUAGAACAAACCAGUCAACGUUUAAUUUACAGCUUUAAUUCUACACGAAUAAGGUCUAUUUUUGUGUAGCAUUUUGGAGUCACACAGGGGGCAGGUAGGCUAGCACCCCGGUGUCGACCGAACAUUCUAGAACAAAAUCAAUUUAUUAAAUUUACAACUUUAACAGUCAACGAAUAAGGUCUACAGUUUUAUAACACGUUAGAAUAUGUCAGGGGGUAGGCUAGCACCCUGUGUGAGCUGUAUGGUAGAGGGAAAGGUCUAGAACAAAUCUGUUAGUAUUCAAUUUCCAGCUUUCGUUCUACAUAAAUUAGGUCUAAAGUUGUGUAUCACUUUAGUGUAAUCCAGGGAGAAGGCUAGCACCCCCGCGUAGAACAUUCUAGAAUUUGAUCAGCAUUUAAUAUGGUGCUUUAUUUCUAGGUAGAUAGGAUCUAAAAUUGAGUAAAAUGAUGUGAUAUUACAGGGGUAGGCUAGCACACUUCAGUGAGCGGCGGAUGGUGGAUUUUACAUUCUAGAACAAUAAAUUGCAGCCUUAAUCCUGUCAACAUAAGGUCUAAAUUAAUACGUUUUGCUACCUCAGGGGCUAGUCUCCCCUCCCGCGCCCUCGCGUCUUAUUCUGGUCUAGACGCGCAUCUGGAGUCAGUGUGCCGCCCGCCGUCCGCCGCGUAUGACGCACUGCUGAGCGCCGCCGCCCGGACCUCCUCAGAGGUAUCUGAUUUAGGAGCAGCAUCACCUUGCUCUGAAGGCAGCUGACGCAGCAGCGAGUCUCGCGGCAGAUUCAUAACAUCUCGGGGAUGGGUUCCACCUCCCCCCCCCCGGACCUGCACUCCCAGCAGCAGCAGCAGCGCACUCAACACUAGACUGUCACUCACUACUCGCCUCAUCUGAUGCGCGCCAGUAGUGCGUGAGAGAUGACGGAGACCUCGUGCUCUGUGAUUAGGUAGCUCGGGCAGGCGCGGAUCCCGGAGGGGGGGGGCGGGGACAGACCCCAUGGAGUCUCACUCUAUGUGUUCUGCUCUCGACCUCCUCCUGGAGACGGAUGCGCGCCUGACUGACAACAUGUAAGAUAGGGUUAAGCUAGCGAGUAAUUCUUAUAGAGUUUAAAUAGACACCAAGUAUGUGAGCAAUUUUUAUUCUGCUUUUAAGCCUAGGAUAGCUGCCCUGUGGCCUGGGCCAGCAGGCCAAGGCCACAGGGCCUCGGGGGUAGCAGCGACGUGGCCUCACACGUUGCUCCUAUUCCUCUUAGUUUCUAAGACUUCAAUCCCUAAAAUUAAAAAAACUAAUUAUACCAACAAAACACGCA